CGUGAUGGUGGGGAAAUUUCAAAGCUGUCAGUGGAAGAAAACCUAGGUGAGGUCCAUGUUCUGUCAACGAAUGGGAAAUUUCCUAUCAUGGUAGAGAAGAUUAGAAUUACUACUCUAAACUCAUAAUCCCAUUCGGUAGUCAACUUUGUUGAAAACUGAAAUCCUAAUAGUUCUAGAGAUAUUGUGAAUUCUUGAAAUAAAUUAUAGGAGUUAGAAGAACCCCAUAAUAGCUGUUUCUUCUCGAAAUUGGGUAAGCAAAAAAGGGAUAAGAAAACAAUUAAUAUUCUUAAAGGAAAAGGGAGCAGAUUUAAGAUUAAGGCCCCGAGUCGCGUACCAGUAGUUGAAGCCAUGAACAUGGUUGCGAACAAAAUUGGGAAUGAAGUUUCGAAGGCUAAUUCGGGUUGUAAUCAUGGGAGUAUAUCACCAAGUAAAUAAUGGCGCCAAUCUGGAGGGUUGAAAAUCAACGGGACAAAGGCUGAUGGUAUUAUUGCGAAAAUUGGGAUGGAUCGAUCACAUCGGAUUGAAGCUCGAAGCUUUGCUGGGGGUGUAUGGGUUUGUUGGAACAAUAAUGUUUAGAUUAAUAUUCUCAUGAAUGACCCACAAUUUGUCCACUGUCGUUUGAAAAUGGUAAAGGGUUCCUCGGAUAUACUGGUGACUUUUGUUUAUGGGUUUCCUGAUAAGUAGAGGUGCAAGAUUUUAUGGGAUAAACUUAAUAUUCUUGCUAAGUCUGUAGUUAAACCCUGGGUUUUGCUUGGCGAUUUCAAUUUUGUUAUAUUUCCAGAGGAAAAGAGAAGGGGUCUCCCUAUUUAUUCCGAGUGCAAAUUAUUUUAUAAUUUUGUGCAGAAUAAUGAGUUAAGGGAUAUUGUCUUUAAGGGACCCCAAUUUACUUGUAGAAGAGGGGGGAUCUUUGAGAGGCUUGACAAGGUCAUUGGAAAUAGUAUUUGGUGUCAGGCUUUCCCAAAGGCAACUGUGCUCCACUUCCCUCAUUUAAAAUCAUAUCAUAAACUUAUAUUAUUAUCAUUAAAUUCCAUCAAAAAAGUUUGAGUUGAUAGGCCUUCUCGUUUCCAAGACCCUUGGGUUAGUCAUCCAUCGUUUUCACAAUUUGUUCAUGAAAAUUAGAGUAAUGGGGUGGAUUUAGUUAGUAAUAUUAGGACUAUCACUAUGAAACUAAAAAAUUGGAACUUAGAGGUUUUUGGUCAUAUUGUUAGAAGAAAGAGCUUGCUUGCUCUUCGCAUCGAUAAGAUCCAAGCUACUUUAGACCAAAAGUGUUCUAGAUUUCUUAUGGAUCUUGAAUGUAAGUUGCAUGUUGAGUGCGGAAAGUUCAUUGAUAAGGAAGAAUUAUUUUAGAAACAAAAAUCGAGAGUGGAUUGGAUCUAUUUUGGUGACCGAAAUACGAAAUUCUUCCAUAAUAGAGCACUUGUUAGGCAAAAUUCUGAAAGGAUUUUUGCUUUAAAGGUUGGGGGUCAAUGGUGUUAUGACAGUGAAGCCCUUCAAAAGGAAGCGGUCAGAAGUGGAUGUUGAUCAAGCAAGGAUUAUAAAGGAUGUCCUUAACACUUUUGGAGCUACCUCGGGCCAUUAAGUCAAUGGCCUUAAAACUAAUGUAUUCUUUUCCAGCAAUAUUGGUUCCAACUAUGCUAAUGUUAUUUAUAGUGUUCUUGGUUUUCAGCAGACUGACAAUUUGGGGAUAUAUUUGGAAUUGCCUUUUUUUAACCGAUGAAUAAUGAUGAAUACCUUCAGAUUCAUUGUAGACAAGGUCAGACGAAAGCUAGAUAAUUGGAAUGCCAAAACGCUUUCUGUGGUGGGACGAGUAACUUUAGCUCAGUCAAUUUUGUUAUCAAUUCCCAAUUAUUUUAUGCAAGCUGUGAAAAUCUCAUCUAGCAUUUGUGUAAAAAUUGAGAAGAUUUCCCCGAGAUUUAUAUUGGGAAAUUUUGAAGCUAAUCGGAAAUCGUCUUUGGCAAGGUAGAGGGAUUGAUGUUAACCUCUGCCUAAUAGGGGAUUAGGUAUUCGAUGCCGUAAAGAACAUAAUGAGUCAUUUAUGCUUAAGUUGGGAUUUAACCUCCUAACUAGUGAGCAAGCUUUGUGGGUAAGGUACUCCAAUCUAAGUAUAAAAUAUUGAAAGAAUGCCCUGAGGAUAUUUCCCGAAGAAAAUAUUCUUUCAUUUGGAGAUCUUUUGCGAAGGUCUAGCCCCUCCUGCAUCAAAGUCUUCUUUGGUCAGUUAGUGAUGGGAAUCUCAUCAAAUUUUGGACUAAUAAUUGGAUAGUAGAUGUGGGCCCCUCUUAUUAACCAUUGUUUGGCUCAUUCCUUGAUUGAUGAGUCUAUUACACUUCGAGAGGUUGUGAAUACAGAUGGAAACUGGAAUAGAGAGUAUAUGCGGUGUUUUUUGAAUGAAGAUAUUUUAUCUUAUAUUGGAGGUAUUCUUACUCCAAAUACUUUAGUAGGAACUAAUGGAGUUAUAUCGAGUUGGGUUUCCAAUGGUAAAUUCAGUAUUAAAGCAGCUUAUGGUGUGCUUAUAAAAAAAACUCAUUAAAUCUGUCAGAGGUGAAAAGGAAGCUUGUUUGGUCUUUGAAUGUUCCACAACGUGUUCGUCAUUUUAUUUGGUUAUUGUUUAAGGGACACAUUUUUACUAAUGCGGAACGAUGUAUGAGAGGCUUAUCAGAAGAUCCUCCAUGCAAGCUUUGUAGGAAUGUUGAAUAAUCUUGUCUUCUUGUGUUACAAGAUUAUUGUAAAGCAAAAAAAGUGUGGAAGUAGUUAAUUCCCUCGAGGAGUUCGAUCCGAUUUUUCUCUUCUUCUUUGGAGGAAUAAGUGUCUAUAUGUUUGAUGUUGUUUUCCAGGAUUCAGACUGGCCUUCUCUAUUUAGGAUUAAUUUUUGAAGGAUUUGGAAACAGAGAAAUUUGUGUGUAUCCCAAGGUGUUCCAUUCAACAUAUCUACUAUGAUCUAGUCUUCGUGGUGGUGAGCAAGAGCCAUUAAGUAGGGGCAUCUCAAUUUAGGGGGGAGUAAUGUGAAGCAAUUCAGGGACCAAAGACGGGUUCCAUUGCCUACUAGGUUCUUUAAAAUAAAUACAAAUAGUGCUCGUAAUCUAAAUUCAGGUCUUGCUUGGUCAGUUGCAGUGGCCUGUGAUGAGCAUGGUAGAUGGAUGUGGAGACUAGGAAGAAAUGUUGGCCGAUGUAGUGUGAUACAAGCUGAGUUUUGGGCUAUUUAUGAUGGCCUCCAAUUAGCUUAGAAGGAUAAAUGGGUAAACGCUAUUAUUGAGACAAAUUAUUUUUUAUCUAUCAAAGGUAUUCAUGGAGAUUAAAUAGGACAUUCAAAUGGAGAUUUGAUUUUGCGUAUUCAAGAACUUUGCAAUCGCAAGUAGAAAGUGCUCAUAAAGCAAGUACCUAUAGAGGUGAACUCUACUGUUGAUACUUUAGCUGAUCUGACGAAAGAUUUUCCUAUUGGUGCGAGAAUUUUUCAUGUGGCUCAUCCAUCGGUUGAUGAUCAGAUACGACUUGACAGAUGUUUUUGGUUAUCUAACUCUAAUCUUGUUAACUAGCAAUUAAUGCUAUUUAUAUCUUGUUACAAAAAAAAAUCAUAAAUAAUAUGUUUCAUCAAAUUGCAAACAA